rnacentral:rRNA from 1 species
UACGGGGGGGGCAAGCGGUUGUUCGGAAUUACUGGGCGUAAAGGGUUCGUAGGUGGCGUGCUAAGUCAGACGUGAAAUCCCUCAGCUUAACUGGGGAACUGCGUCGUGAGACUGGCCAAGGCACAGAGGGAUGAGGAGACGCGAUCAGUGUAGCGGUGAAAUGCGUAGAUAUCUGGAGGAACACCGGUGGCGAAGGCGGCGUUCUGGACUGCAACUGACGACUGAUGAACGGAAGCCAGGGGAGCAAACGGG